UACGUAGGGUGCGAGCGUUGUCCGGAAUUAUUGGGCGUAAAGGGCUCGUAGGCGGUCUGUUGCGUCAGGAGUGAAAACUCGGGGCUUAACCCCGAGCCUGCUUCUGAUACGGGCAGACUAGAGGUAUGCAGGGGAGAACGGAAUUCCUGGUGUAGCGGUGAAAUGCGCAGAUAUCAGGAGGAACACCGGUGGCGAAGGCGAGUCCCUGGACAACACCUGACGCUGAGGCACGAAAGCUAGGGGAGCAAACAGG
rnacentral:rRNA from 1 species